rnacentral:rRNA from 1 species
UUAAAAGAGUAGUAUGCCCCUAUGACUAAUAACCUAGCUCAUAUACAUCAGGUCAAAGUGCAGCCAAUAAGGAGGUGACGAUGGGUUACAACCCCCAAAACAGAUUAUAGACUAAGAAAAUAAAAAUCUUACGAAAGUGGACUUGGCCGUAAUCAAUUUAAAGUUAAAGAAAUGAAUAAUAUCUAAGACAUGCACACCUCGCCCGUCACUCUACCCCAAAGGUUAGAUAAGUCGUAACAAAGUAGGUGUAAUGGAAAUUGUACCUGUCGGAGUAUAGCAUAUAAAAUGCUUUUUACUUACACUAAAAAUAAAGUUAAAUAACUUGCUUCGCCCACAUAAUAUAAUCUUACAAAUAAUUAUUAAUUAAAACAAUUAAAUAAUAAAUUAAUAUAGUACAGAAAUGGAACAAAUUAAUAAAUUAAAGUAAAUUUUAAUAAAUGUACCUUGUGCAUUAUGGUCUUACAAGAAAAUAAUUAAAUAUAUAAAUCCCGAAUUCUAAGUGAGAUGCUAGACUGCUGUUAAGCACCCAUUAAUAACUGUGGAAAAAGUUUUAAGAGACAGCCUAGCAGAGGCUACAUACCAUCCGCAUAAGAAUAUAACUGGUUUUCAACAAACAUUAUACAUUAAGACAUAUAAUUAUAUUAUAGUGUAAUAUUAUUGAGGACAAGCCCAAUAAUCUCUGCAAUAAAUCUAACUAUUCAAUUCUACUCAAUAGGCCUAAAAUCAGCCAACUAGAAUACUUUAUCGUAAAACAAGUAGAUAUAAUAUAUAGCACGUUAAUGCCCAAAAAAGUUGAAAUAAUAGAGAGACUUACUUAUCUAUUUUUAAUAUGUAAAAAUAAGUAUUAUAAUUUAUAAAAUAAAGAAACAAGUAAUGACAACAUAUAACUAACAAUAAUUAAUUAAGGAACUCGGCAAAUCAUUAUUUCGACUGUUUAACAAAAACAUUGUCUUAUGAAUAGAAUAUUAGAUAAUACCUG